rnacentral:rRNA from 1 species
UUGGAGGGCAAGUCUGGUGCCAGCAGCCGCGGUAAUUCCAGCUCCAAUAGCGUAUAUUAAAGUUGUUGCAGUUAAAAAGCUCGUAGUUGAACUUCGGGGUUCACCCAUUGGUCAGGCUUAAUUGUCUGUACUGGUGAGAUGAGUCUCUACCUUCUGAGGAACUUUCAUGCCAUUUAUUUGGUGUGGUUGGAAAUCAGGACUGUUACUUUGAAAAAAUUAGAGUGUUUAAAGCAGGCUAACGUCUGAAUACAUUAGCAUGGAAUAAUGAAAUAGGACGGAUUGAUUCUAUUUCGCUGGUUUCUAGGAUCACCGUAAUGAUUAAUAGGGAUAGUUGGGGGCAUUAGUAUUCAAUUGUCAGAGGUGAAAUUCUUGGAUUUAUUGAAGACUAACUACUGCGAAAGCAUUUGCCAAGGAUGUUUUCAUUAAUCAAGAACGAAAGUUAGGGGAUCGAAGACGAUCAGAUACCGUCGUAGUCUUAACCAUAAACUAUGCCGACUAGGGAUCGGACGAAGUUAUUAAAAAUGACGCGUUCGGCGCCUUACGGGAAAC